rnacentral:rRNA from 1 species
CGAACGGGAAUUACUUUAUUGAAACUUCGGUCGAUUUAAUUUAAUUCUAGUGGCGGACGGGUGAGUAACGCGUGGGUAACCUGCCUUAUACAGGGGGAUAACAGUCAGAAAUGGCUGCUAAUACCGCAUAAGCGCACAGAGCUGCAUGGCUCGGUGUGAAAAACUCCGGUGGUAUAAGAUGGACCCGCGUUGGAUUAGCUUGUUGGUGGGGUAACGGCCCACCAAGGCGACGAUCCAUAGCCGGCCUGAGAGGGUGAACGGCCACAUUGGGACUGAGACACGGCCCAGACUCCUACGGGAGGCAGCAGUGGGGAAUAUUGCACAAUGGGGGAAACCCUGAUGCAGCGACGCCGCGUGAAGGAAGAAGUAUCUCGGUAUGCAAACUUCUAUCAGCAGGGAAGAUAGUGACGGUACCUGACUAAGAAGCCCCGGCUAACUACGUGCCAGCAGCCGCGGUAAUACGUAGGGGGCAAGCGUUAUCCGGAUUUACUGGGUGUAAAGGGAGCGUAGACGGUGUGGCAAGUCUGAUGUGAAAGGCAUGGGCUCAACCUGUGGACUGCAUUGGAAACUGUCAUGCUUGAGUGCCGGAGGGGUAAGCGGAAUUCCUAGUGUAGCGGUGAAAUGCGUAGAUAUUAGGAGGAACACCAGUGGCGAA